GACAAUUCCUGAAAUAGGUUCAGCAGGAUCAAUUGAAGACACGUGUGGGCAUAAUAUCUCAGAUGCUAGGUGAGAGAUUCCACAGUGAAGUUAUAACAAUAUCAGCUUCUUGGCAUACUCUAACUCCAUUUGUUAAACCACUAAGGCAAAAGGCUGCUAAAACUGUUAAUUUUCUGCAACUCUCAGAUGGGGUCAUCAGCCCAAAGGAAAAAAUAUCCCCCAAAGUUAAGUGCCUUCUGGAAUCUACUUUAGGCCAGACAGCUUUCACCAUUAUCAAUUAAGUGACAGGCAUUAAUCUAGGCAUUAAUCUAUAUGCAAGAGUUACAGAGAUGAAUAAAAAGUUAUCAAUGGUCAAGAAACUUGCAAUCUUUUGGAAAAGAAGUGUAUGCAACUAAGUAUAACACAAAUAAGAAGGUAUUGAGAAUGCCCAAAGUGCUAUUGAAGCAGAGGAGAGAAAGCAAUUCAUUUUGACAUGGGGAGCUGGGAAAUGCCUCAUGAACAGGUGGCAACAGAGUUCAGUAAUUACUGGAGAUAUAAUCUUCUUUUCAAUCCAUGUACCUGCUGUUAUGGUUUCUUGGACUCUUUUGCUGACAAUGUAAGGGUUUUAAGGCUCUUUUCAGCCCCAACUAAAUCUUUAAACACCUUCUAGUUUUAAAACAUUCCUCUUCUGGCCUAUCGAUAGUAAAUUUACAACCUACAGGUCAGAACCAAAAGCUUUUCAAAGUGUAAUUGACAAAUACCAGGAAGCAUCUCACUUUAUCACAGGAAACUUUAAAACUUCAGCAUGAACCUGGCAAAUGUGGGGUACUUUGCCUUCAAUCAGGAUCAUUCCAGCUAUUUCUCUCAAACUCAGUGGGAAGAUACGAAAUCUGGCCUAGCAACAGCAGUGCCCAAUGCCUUCAUUCCAGCUCUGUCCUCAAAGAAGAACAUUAGGGCUGAUAAUCUGUGCACCAUGGCAAGCAACAUUAUCAACUCAAGUACAAUGAUUAUUUACAAGUCUCUGCAUUCUGUUUAUGUAAUUAUGUUUUUUCUUACUCAAUUUAUUAAUCU